rnacentral:lncRNA from 1 species
ACUACCUCCUCCACCAGCCAGGCCACUGCUAUCCAGGACUCCACUGCCUGGGAUCAGCCUUCUCUACACACAUGGAGCCCCUGGGGAUAGGUCUCACCUUGCUGGCCCAGUUCCCAUGGGUAGAAACAAGAAACGGGGAGCUCAGCCCAAUGGCAUCCCGGCGCAGACUUCACAUUCCCCGGUGGCCCUCAAGACCGUCCAGGACCCUGGCAUAUGAACACUGGGUCAGCUGAGCCAGGACCUCCUCAGAGACUGGGAAGGCUAGAAGGCUGUCAGAGUUGACUGACUAUGGAAGGCUCGGCUCUCAUCGCAUCCCAACUAGACCCACAAUGUCCCUGCUCACUCAGCCCCAACACAAUAAAUGCCUGUGACAGAG